rnacentral:rRNA from 1 species
UUGAGCGAUUUACUUCGGUAAAGAGCGGCGGACGGGUGAGUAACGCGUGGGUAACCUACCCUGUACACACGGAUAACAUACCGAAAGGUAUGCUAAUACGGGAUAAUAUAUUUGAGAGGCAUCUCUUGAAUAUCAAAGGUGAGCCAGUACAGGAUGGACCCGCGUCUGAUUAGCUAGUUGGUAAGGUAACGGCUUACCAAGGCGACGAUCAGUAGCCGACCUGAGAGGGUGAUCGGCCACAUUGGAACUGAGACACGGUCCAAACUCCUACGGGAGGCAGCAGUGGGGAAUAUUGCACAAUGGGCGAAAGCCUGAUGCAGCAACGCCGCGUGCGUGAUGAAGGCCUUCGGGUCGUAAAACUCUGUCCUCAAGGAAGAUAAUGACGGUACUUGAGGAGGAAGCCCCGGCUAACUACGUGCCAGCAGCCGCGGUAAUACGUAGGGGGCUAGCGUUAUCCGGAUUUACUGGGCGUAAAGGGUGCGUAGGCGGUCUUUCAAGUCAGGAGUGAAAGGCUACGGCUCAACCGUAGUAAGCUCUUGAAACUGGGAGACUUGAGUGCAGGAGAGGAGAGUGGAAUUCCUAGUGUAGCGGUGAAAUGCGUAGAUAUUAGGAGGAACACCAGUUGCGAAGGCGGCUCUCUGGACUGUAACUGACGCUGAGGCACGAAAGCGUGGGGAGCAAACAGGA